AUGUACACAUACACACACACACACACUCACAUAUUUGUUGAUAAACCGGAUUAUUUCACCAUAUUCCUCAUACCUCAACGUUUUGUACGGUUGAUGAACGUCAGCCGAAUGCAUCGAUGAGUUUCCAAAUUUCAAACACAAUUAUGAAGCGCUCUACACACUCCUAACACAGGUGUGUGUGUAUUGAGUACUUUGUAUUUUUGCAUGCAAACAUAAACGAACAAAUAAUAACAUCAUAUACAUAUAUUAUAAUAUAUUAUAAUAUAUUUAUAUGUGCAUAUUUAUAGCAGUAUAUUCUGCAAUAAAGGGUUUUUUCUCCUUGUAUCCAAUACAUUAAUUAUAUAAAUUGAUUAUUUGUAAAACAAUUGGUUAUAAAUAUUAUAAUUCGAGGAGAAUUGCUGGAAUUAUAUUUGAAAGGAGUUUGAAAGAAGAUUGAAAGAAUUUCGUGUGCCAUUCAAUAAAUCUCUUUGAAGGCCGCUGGACUUACCUAUUUGCAGUUUGAUGUGCAAAGAUUUAUGAAAACGAGGCUAGCGGGAACUUCUGCCUGACAAUUUACCUGUACAGUGAUAUUUCGUCUCUCAGUGACAUCUAACCCUAACAUGUCUGAAAAGGAAGCGCUGAAAGAGCAGUGGGAAUACUUCACGUGAAAACCUUAUUCCCUAACGAAAAAAAAAAAAAAA
rnacentral:lncRNA from 1 species